rnacentral:tRNA from 1 species
GGCGGCAUAGCCAAGUGGUAAGGCAAGGGUCUGCAAAACCCUCAUCCGGCAGUUCAAAUCUGCCUGCCGCCU